GACGAACGCUGGCGGCGUGCUUAACACAUGCAAGUCGAACGGAAAGGCCCUGCUUUUGUGGGGUGCUCGAGUGGCGAACGGGUGAGUAACACGUGAGUAACCUGCCCUUGACUUUGGGAUAACUUCAGGAAACUGGGGCUAAUACCGGAUAGGAGCUCCUGCUGCAUGGUGGGGGUUGGAAAGUUUCGGCGGUUGGGGAUGGACUCGCGGCUUAUCAGCUUGUUGGUGGGGUAGUGGCUUACCAAGGCUUUGACGGGUAGCCGGCCUGAGAGGGUGACCGGCCACAUUGGGACUGAGAUACGGCACAGACUCCUACGGGAGGCAGCAGUGGGGAAUAUUGCACAAUGGGCGGAAGCCUGAUGCAGCAACGCCGCGUGCGGGAUGACGGCCUUCGGGUUGUAAACCGCUUUCGCCUGUGGCGAAGCGUGAGUGACGGUAAUGGGUAAAGAAGCACCGGCUAACUACGUG
rnacentral:rRNA from 1 species